ensembl:lncRNA
CAUCUGUUCAUUGCUAUUCUAAACACAGGACAGAGCACUGCAUAUUUUUGUGUGAGAGAAUUAAUCAGCGACGUUUGUCCUUAACAAGACUUAAUUAAGUAGCCUUUCGAUGGAUAUAUCACCAUUCUUCAAAGACCACAUGGAGUCGUUAACGGCAAACAAACAAACAGCCUUUUUCAAGGCUUCCAGCCUAUUUACAGGCAUCCCACCAGCCUUUUCCCCUUUCCCCUUUUUCUCGGGACUCCUCCCAACGGAUACAAGGUGAACAUGGCCCUUUCUCGUGCCCGGGAUGAAGUGCACUACCUGAAAAGGAAGGUGAGCGAACUCAGUGCUCACACUGAAACUGGGAGGUACAGUUUGACCAACCUGUUAAAAGGCAAAGAUCUUGCCUAUGAGCAGACAAGAACAGAAAUAAGUUUUCAGACCUCGUCAGGGAGAACAAGGGUUUGUCUCUGAAGCUCCACAGAGACCACCGAACAACUCGUUGUCAAAAAUGCUGAACCCACGGUCCAGCAGCAGGCCAACAACCAACGGUUGAAAGCAGAACACAAACUGCUAAAGAGCAAGACAGAGGCUCUGGCUGAGGUUAUCGGGGAAAAGUUUGUUUCUGAAGCUCUUUGAGUACGGCAAACAACUCUUCGUCAAAAGUGCUGAACUCACAGUCAACAAAGGGACCUGGCAGCAGAAGUUGGAGGAAAAGACAUUCAAGGAACUGUAUUACCAACAACAGUCCAGUAAGUAACAGGGUUACUCUCCACCAAUAUUUCUCUUCAAGAGGAGCUGCACAAGCAGCAGGCCAACAACCACCAGUUGGUAGAAGAAAACAAACUGCUAAAGAUCAAGACAGAGGCUCUGGAUGAGACUAUCAGGGAGAACGAGGGUUUAUCUCUGAAGCUCACCGAGACCACAAAACAACUUUCUGUCAAAAGUGCUGAACUCAGGGUGAACAACGAGACCUGGCAGCAGUUGGAAGCAGAAAACAAACUGCUGAAGACCCAGAGGGAUUCUCUGGCUGCUUUAAAAAAGAGCCAAGAGGAGACCCACCACGAGAUGGUCACUAGCACUGAGUUGUGCCUGAUCUCUAAGAUCCAACAAACGGAGGAUACCAUUCCCAAAGAACAUCAGAUCCUUAUCACCAGGAUCCAAGAAUUAGAGGACGACAAAACAGUCCUUGAAAACAUCUGCCUGUACUUAAAAAAACGGACCGGCAGACGGAGAUGGACAAAAUGAGGCGCAAGAUGCAGGACAAGGAGACAAAGAAAUAGGAGAGAGAAAAGAAGAAAAAGGAGACCAUCCAGGACGUCAACAUCAACGUGCCUGAGACUGGACACAAAAAAGGCAAGAAGAAAAAGGAGACCAUCCAGGACGUCAACAUCAACGUGCCUGAGACUGGACACCUGUAAGAACACCUUCCUUCACCUCCCACUCCCUCCUACCUCAUCCUUCUCAAAUAACAAAUAAAGGAAAUGUUUACCCCAA